rnacentral:rRNA from 1 species
GAUGAACGCUGGCGGCGUGCCUAACACAUGCAAGUCGAACGGAGUCCAGCCUUUAAGACCUUCGGGUCAAAGAGGGGAAGACUGAGUGGCGGACGGGUGAGUAACACGUGGGCAACCUGGCUCAUAGAGGGGGAUAACAGAGAGAAAUUUCUGCUAAUACCGCAUAAGCACACACUGCCGCAUGGCAGAGGGUGAAAAGAGAAACGCUAUGAGAUGGACCCGCGUCUGAUUAGCCAGUUGGCAGGGUAAGAGCCUACCAAAGCGACGAUCAGUAGCCGAUCUGAGAGGAUGAACGGCCACAUUGGGACUGAGACACAGCCCAAACUCCUACGGGAGGCAGCAGUGGGGGAUAUUGCAAAAUGGGGGGAACCCUGAUGCAGCGACGCCGCGUGAGUGAAGAAGUAUUUCGGGAUGUAAAGCGCUAUCAGCAGGGAAGAUAAUGACAGUACCUGAAUAAGAAGCCCCGGCUAACUACGUG